UACGUAGGCAGCGAGCGUUGUUCGGAAUUACUGGACUUAAAGCGUGUGUAGGCGGAUGUCUAAGUACCUUGUGAAAUCCCACGGCUCAACCGUGGAACUGCUUGGUAUACUGGACGUCUUGAGCCAUCUAGGGGCUACCGGAACAAAUGGUGGAGCGGUGAAAUGCGUAGAUAUCGUUUGGAACGCCAACGGUGAAAACAGACAGCUGGGAGUGUGCUGACGCUGAGACACGAAAGCCAGGGGAGCGAACGGGG
rnacentral:rRNA from 1 species